UACGUAGGGGGCAAGCGUUGUCCGGAAUUAUUGGGCGUAAAGAGUGCGUAGGCGGUCAAUUAAGUCUAGUUUGAAAGCCCAUGGCUUAACCAUGGAUGGUGACUAGAAACUGUUUGACUUGAGGAUAGGAGAGGAAAGUGGAAUUCCACGUGUAGCGGUGAAAUGCGUAGAGAUGUGGAGGAACACCAGUGGCGAAGGCGACUCUUUGGUCUGUAACUGACGCUGAGGCGCGAAAGCGUGGGGAGCAAACAGG
rnacentral:rRNA from 1 species